rnacentral:rRNA from 1 species
AUUGAACGCUGGCGGCAUGCUUUACACAUGCAAGUCGAACGGCAGCACGGACUUCGGUCUGGUGGCGAGUGGCGAACGGGUGAGUAAUACAUCGGAACGUACCCGGUAAUGGGGGAUAACUAUCCGAAAGGAUAGCUAAUACCGCAUACGCCCUACGGGGGAAAGAGGGGGAUCGCAAGACCUCUUGUUAUUGGAGCGGCCGAUGGCUGAUUAGCUAGUUGGUGAGGUAAAGGCUCACCAAGGCGACGAUCAGUAGCGGGUCUUAGAGGACGAUCCGCCACACUGGAACUGAGACACGGUCCAGACUCCUACGGGAGGCAGCAGUGGGGAAUCUUGGACAAUGGGCGCAAGCCUGAUCCAGCAAUGCCGCGUGCGUGAAGAAGGCCUUCGGGUUGUAAAGCGCUUUUGUCUGGGAGCAAAUCCUUGUGGUUAAUACCCACCGGGGAUGAGAGUACCAGAAGAAUAAGGACCGGCUAACUACGUGCCAGCCGCCGCCGUAAGAC